UGGACUAGACACUGCCUAGUGGGGUUCUC
rnacentral:piRNA from 1 species